rnacentral:rRNA from 1 species
AUGGGAACGCGAAGAACCUUACCUAGACUUGACAUCUCCUGAAUUACUCUGUAAUAGAGGAAGCCCUUCGGGGCGAGGAAGACAGGUGGUGCAUGGUUGUCGUCAGCUCGUGUCGUGAGAUGUUGGGUUAAGUCCCGCAACGAGCGCAACCCUUAUUACUAGUUGCUACCAUUAAGUUGAGCACUCUAGUGAGACUGCCCGGGUUAACCGGGAGGAAGGCGGGGAUGACGUCAAAUCAUCAUGCCCCUUAUGUCUAGGGCAACACACGUGCUACAAUGGUGAGUACAGAUAGAUGCGAUACCGCAAGGUGGAGCCAAACUCUAAAACUCAUCCCAGUUCGGAUUGUAGGCUGCAACUCGCCUACAUGAAGUUGGAGUUGCUAGUAAUCGCGAAUCAGAAUGUCGCGGUGAAUACGUUCCCGGGUCUUGUACACACCG